rnacentral:rRNA from 1 species
AGUGAACGCUGGCGGUAGGCCUAACACAUGCAAGUCGAACGGCAGCACAGUAAGAGCUUGCUCUUACGGGUGGCGAGUGGCGGACGGGUGAGGAAUACAUCGGAAUCUACUUUUUCGUGGGGGAUAACGUAGGGAAACUUACGCUAAUACCGCAUACGACCUACGGGUGAAAGCAGGGGAUCUUCGGACCUUGCGCGAUUGAAUGAGCCGAUGUCGGAUUAGCUAGUUGGCGGGGUAAAGGCCCACCAAGGCGACGAUCCGUAGCUGGUCUGAGAGGAUGAUCAGCCACACUGGAACUGAGACACGGUCCAGACUCCUACGGGAGGCAGCAGUGGGGAAUAUUGGACAAAGGGGGAAAGCCUGAUCCAGCCAUACCGCGUGGGUGAAGAAGGACUUCGGGUUGUAAAGCCCUUUUGUUGGGAAAGAAAAGCAGCAGGUUAAUACCCCGCUGUUCUGACGGUACCCAAAGAAUAAGCACCGGCUAACUUCGUG